UACUGAGGGUGCGAGCGUUGUCCGGAAUCACUGGGCGUAAAGGGCGCGUAGGCGGCGCGGGGAGUCAACGGUGAAAGCUCGGCGCUCAACGCCGAGUCGGCCGUCGAUACUCCCGUGCUCGAGCACUGUAGAGGCAGGUGGAAUUCCGGGUGUAGCGGUGGAAUGCGUAGAGAUCCGGAAGAACACCGGUGGCGAAGGCGGCCUGCUGGGCAGUAGCUGACGCUGAGGCGCGACAGCGUGGGGAGCAAACAGG
rnacentral:rRNA from 1 species